rnacentral:rRNA from 1 species
AUGUACUUCGCUUGCGGCGGGAGUAGUGGCGAACGGGUGAGUAACACGUGAGUAACCUGCCCUUAACUCUGGGAUAAGCCUUGGAAACGAGGUCUAAUACUGGAUAUUGACUUUACCUCGCAUGGGGUUUGGUUGAAAGAUUUAUUGGUUUUGGAUGGACUCGCGGCCUAUCAGCUUGUUGGUGAGGUAAUGGCUCACCAAGGCGACGACGGGUAGCCGGCCUGAGAGGGUGACCGGCCACACUGGGACUGAGACACGGCCCAGACUCCUACGGGAGGCAGCAGUGGGGAAUAUUGCACAAUGGGCGAAAGCCUGAUGCAGCGACGCCGCGUGAGGGAUGACGGCCUUCGGGUUGUAAACCUCUUUCAGUAGGGAACAAGGCCAGCAUUUUUGUUGGUUGAGGGUACUUGCAGAAGAAGCGCCGGCUAACUACGUGCCAGCAGCCGCGGUAAUACGUAGGGCGCAAGCGUUAUCCGGAAUUAUUGGGCGUAAAGAGCUCGUAGGCGGUUUGUCGCGUCUGCCGUGAAAGUCCGGGGCUCAACCCCGGAUCUGCGGUGGGUACGGGCAGACUAGAGUGAUGUAGGGGAGACUGGAAUUCCUGGUGUAGCGGUGAAAUGCGCAGAUAUCAGGAGGAACACCGAUGGCGAAGGCAGGUCUCUGGGCAUUAACUGACGCUGAGGAGCGAAAGCAUGGGGAGCGAACAGGAUUAGAUACCCUGGUAGUCCAUGCCGUAAACGUUGGGCACUAGGUGUGGGGGACAUUCCACGUUUUCCGCGCCGUAGCUAACGCAUUAAGUGCCCCGCCUGGGGAGUACGGCCGCAAGGCUAAAACUCAAAGGAAUUGACGGGGGCCCGCACAAGCGGCGGAGCAUGCGGAUUAAUUCGAUGCAACGCGAAGAACCUUACCAAGGCUUGACAUGAACUGGAAAUACCUGGAAACAGGUGCCCCGCUUGCGGUCGGUUUACAGGUGGUGCAUGGUUGUCGUCAGCUCGUGUCGUGAGAUGUUGGGUUAAGUCCCGCAACGAGCGCAACCCUCGUUCUAUGUUGCCAGCACGUAAUGGUGGGGACUCAUAGGAGACUGCCGGGGUCAACUCGGAGGAAGGUGAGGACGACGUCAAAUCAUCAUGCCCCUUAUGUCUUGGGCUUCACGCAUGCUACAAUGGCCGGUACAAUGGGUUGCGAUACUGUGAGGUGGAGCUAAUCCCAAAAAGCCGGUCUCAGUUCGGAUUGGGGUCUGCAACUCGACCCCAUGAAGUCGGAGUCGCUAGUAAUCGCAGAUCAGCAACGCUGCGGUGAAUACGUUCCCGGGCCUUGUACACACCGCCCGUCAAGUCACGAAAGUUGGUAACACCCGAAGCCGGUGGCCUAACCC